rnacentral:lncRNA from 1 species
CCCGGAGGCGUCCUUCAGCUGGCCCCUAAACAAAUAUAUACUAGUUCAGUGAUAAUGAACGCCAUACUAAUUUCCGAAUUGUACACAAGAAACUAAAAUUAAAAAAAAUACAAGACUAACAAAGGCCAGAGGCUCCUGACUUGGGACAGGCGCAAAAAUGCGGCGGGGUUAAACAUGUUUAUGAGAUCUCAACCCUCCCCCUAUACCUCUAGCCAAUGUAGAAAAGUAAAUGCAUAACAAAACGCACAUUCAAAAUUCAAUUCAAGAGAAGUCCGAGUCUGAUGUCAGAAGAUGUAACCACAGAAAAUAAACAAAAUGACAAUAAUACAUAAAUAACAACAGACUACUAGCAGUUAACUGACAU